CUCUCUCUCUCUCUCUCUCUCUCUCAGAUGGUGUUGUAAACAUGAUGUACCAGAUAGCAAUAUAUUUCAUAGACAGUGUCCCGUUUAUUACAAAUACUAAACCUAAACACUGUAAAAAGAUAGGAUAUGGACUGAAAAACCGUCGCCACACACACAUACACACGCACACCACCACCACCACCACUACUAUCAGUGUGGCGUUAAGGCCAAUAGUACUGAACAAUCCUUAUGAGUGUUUAUCCACUCACCCGACGAGAGAGAGAGAGAGAGAGAGAGAGAGACCCUUCGCUGAAAGCUGAAAUAUAUCACAAAAUAUUGCCAUGUACCAGAUGGACCACUUUCUUUCAUGCAGUGUAUUAUCCAAGCAUUAUAUGAUGGUCAUGUUUUUAAAUAUUUAGCUUGAUACGUGGAAACACGUGUGCCUUGGAGCUCCUCACUUUCCACAUUUUUUCUGCUUGCUACACCCGCUUAUUAUCCAAGAACCAUUACGGGCUGCUCCGGGUAUGUCUCCGCCAUAAGAUCCAUACAAGAACCAGUACAUAGAAGGAUGUGAAGGAAGAAUAAGCCAGCAAAACAAGUCCCCUGCCUCCGCCGCUGGACUGUUCCAACAAUAUUUGCCAAACGUAAACAAACCCCGGCUCGUCGCAGAUUCGCCCCUGUACCUGUUUACUCCAUUAUACCUGCACGUAGUCUACUACUUGGAUUCUCGCAAGCUAAAUGGUGCAAACAAGGAGUGCGGCAGGGUCUGACGUAGCAGCUGUGGUAUCUACUCCAGUUGGACAGAAGCAGGGGACAGCCAUAGCCGAGAUGGUCAAGACACCAACUCAAGCCAUGGGACAAGCACCCACAACAAAUCCUUGACUUCAUCUCCAGUGACAUUGCUCGUCUGUCCGAAGAAGAUUUACAACAAUCCUCUGUUGAGGGACAUACCGACCGAUACAGCAACGUCUGGUAACCCUUCUUGUUCCCGCCAGGACACCCGCACUACUUCACUGAUGACAACUGAACAUACAAGUAAACGUAAGCGCACACCCACACCAAACAAGAGUAUCAGUAAAAGGGCGACAAAAGGGAAUGUGAGGAUGCAGAUACAGUGCUUCAAGAAGCAGUUCAGCAACUGAGGGCAAUGUCGUCAGCAGAAGAGAUUACUGAUGUUUACAGUGAUUUUGGGAACGUUGUGGCUCACGAUUUGCGGCAAAUGUCAGAGGAGAGCAGGAUACAUGCACAAAGAUUUAUAAAUGAAAUUCUAUUUUUGGGGAAACUGGGGAAGCUUUCAGCGUCAACAAUGGUUGUUGAGUAAUGUGAGUGGUGACUAGGUUUCCCGAAGUGGGAAUGACCUAUUAUGCUGUAAGUAGAUUAAUGUAUUUGUUUCUCCUUAAGUAACACCUGACUACCAUUUUCUAUUGUUAUACUGUACUGUAUACAUGGGAAAGUAAUAAAAAAUGGAAUGCA